UGUGCUUGACCAUUAUGGAGAGGUUCGUGGAGCUGUACAAAAUCAAGAGCGGCAUAGGAGGGCUAACUAGGCUCAUAAAAUGCUUCGGAGAUGAUAGCCCUACACAAAGGAAGAGGACAGAGGACCUCAUUUUCUAAAGGAAGAUCCCUCACACACUUUCAAGACUGUGAAGCCGCCCUGGGGCGCACUGACAGAGGCGAGGCUGCCGGACACUGGCACCACCGGGCCCUCUGGCCACCACCAGUAGGCAACAGCCGACAGGUAUUGAAGACACGUUUUCUAAGAGGAUGAAAGUUGGCAUUGCGAUGGUGAAAGAAGAAGACAUCAUCGAUGUGUUGGUUGUCCUUGAGGCGGCAGUAAUCCUGUCUAAUCUGAGGGAUGUCUCAAGUGCCAUUUCCAUGCUGAUGGGCCUUCU
ensembl:lncRNA